GGCAUGUUCUGCUAGAUGCAACUGGUAUUUUGGUGGGGAAGGACCAGUUGAAUCUUGGGUAUUUCUGGGCUGAUUUUGUGUUGUGCAGUCUUGACAAUGCACACGUCCAGUGCCAACCUUCCAACAUCACUUGCCUUCUCGUCAGGAAGAAAUCCUUCAAUAUUGCAGUAGCAGCAGCUCCCCUUGAAUAUGCUUAGAUUGCUUCAGCAACAGAU
rnacentral:misc_RNA from 1 species